CGGGUCCUCCUCAACUAAGCUCCGGUUGCCAUGGCGACGGAGAGGCCUGCAGGGGCCUGGUCGGGGCUACACAGGCACUGCUUCUGCUCUUCCCCUUGGCGGUCCUGAGGGGACACCGUGGGUGCCAAGGAGGAGUAAAUUGUCACAUCAGAGUGAGGAACGUAAUGGAACAGGGAUGGUGUUGGCUGAUCCUGAAGAGAUCCUGAUCCAGCCUUGUAUGGAUAUGUCAGCUGAAGUACUAGGGAUCAGAAAGGUCUAUGUGCCACACACAUAAGCCUUAUUGCAGCCCUACUACAGGGAAUGAAGGAAAGAGUCUGAAGUCUACUCGAGUCUGAUUUGUGAAAGAGCAGAAGUGGCCCUGGAGACAAAGAUGGAGGCAACAGCGACUCCAAGGGAAAGAUGAAUCUUGAGGGGACUGAAAUCUGGUUAUCAAUCCAGUCUCUUGUUCCUAGGGAGUCGCCAUGAUGCCACAGAAAGAGCACGCUCUUUGAACCUGGCAAACUUGAGUUCACAUCGUGCUGGGAAAGGUUUGUGAACUGGGGCAAAUUACUUCAGCUCCCUGAGCCUCCAAUUCCUCAGCUCUACAAUGAGGGUAAGAGUGCACACCUUCAAGAAUUACUAUGAGGAUGAAAUAGCAUCGCUUAGGUGAAAGCACCUUGUGUAAUGUCUGGAACACAACAGACAUGGAAGAAACAUCCAUUCCCUUCCUACCCCGCCGCCACCUCUCUGCCUCUAGGAUCAGCUUUCCAGGCAACACCUAGACCCCUAAGCAUCCUUGGAGGCAGGUCUGCUGGCCUUGCACCUUGCUUGAGCCUCCACACCUUCACAAAAGUUGACCUCUCCCAGGCCUUGUCUCUGCUAUUGGGUAACAAUUGACUUAAAAUGAUUAGCUCCAUAUCAUACACUGUAGUGACAAUUUCAGGUACCACAGCAGAUUUAUGGGGGAGACGCAGCAUCUGGGGACAGUAGGAGUCUGGUGGUAAUUAACACUAACCUCCAGAUCAUACCACUUACCUUCAGAGCAAGCCUUAGUGGUUCGGUUUGGAAGUAAAUGGAUUUUUCUCUGAAAGCCCCCGGGGAGCAAUCAUUGUCUUCACUGCCCUUAAGGUAACUGCCUGUCUUCAGUGCCGGAAGAGAUUUAGGACCAACAGAUGAGAUUAUGAUUAUCCAUGACACUCUUUGGUCUGAAAUUAAAAUGCUUUCAAUUGUGGGUGCCUGGCUUAGGUGGCUGCCUCUGGAAACUUUCAUCUCUGUUAGCAUUUCAAAUUUGCCCCUGCAGCAGUGUUCUCCUCUGGGAGGAAGGCGGUCUCUGAUAAGGAAUCCAAACCAGGCCUGAGCUAUAGGCUUACCCACCAACACUCAGCUGGCUAGAAACAUCCUUCCAUCCUUCCCUCCGGCACCAGAGCCCCUUCCUGACACUCUCAAUGGAGAAACUGAAGAUCAAACACGUUUAAUCUCUGACCCCCACACUGGCCACCUAGCAGGAGUCUGUCUUUAGGGCAAGGGGGAUCUGAAAUAAUUCAUGUUGCCCUCACCACAGUGUUCCUUCUCUGCAGGAGGCUGUCGGCUGCUUGGGGCUAUCAAUCUGACAUACUUCUGUAGUUCUACACAGAGACUAAAAUACCAUUUAAGUCUUAUUCCAACAGUUCUUGAAUCAUGUGGGUAUUACCAAGCAUGAAAUCAUCAUCUAAAAACACAAUUUUAAAGAGCUGGUUCUUUGGGAAAAAUAAGAAAGAACAUUUCCCCCUGUUUACUCUGAGAUUUGCUUUUUUCCUCAAUAGUGUGGUUAUUGUGUUUUUUUCUUAAUCUUUAGAGAUUAGGCUUCAAUUUUUCACCUAGGCUCCAAUUUGCCCAUAAAUCUCUUCAUUUUGCUUAAUUUAAAUGUUUUGGCCAACUUCAUGGUUUAAUAAUGAAAAAUAAAAUUGAAGCCUUAAUGACUACUAAGGAGGGAAUUUUCAUUUCAUCUGGAAUUAAAAGAGCUGUUAAAGAGGCGGGCACCCUGUCAGACAAGCUGCCACAGCCUUCACUGGAGCGUGCCAAAUGUGGCUUGAUAUUAUACACGUCUUUAUACCCAGGGCAAUCCUCCAAUACGAUUUCUUGAAAAUCCUUCAGAUCCAGCCCUACUUACAUCCACCUGAUUGCUAUGCCCCUAUUGAUUAAGCUGGGAACUAUUCAUUGAAUUCAGGCCAUCUGAGAAGCCCCCUAGGUCCCUGGGGCGCCCCUCACACGCUGCCCAUCAGAGCUAAGGCAAGUUACCCAGCUCCAGAAAGCUCCGGCACAGGCUGUAUAAUGGGGGCCCUGAGACCACGAUGAUCAGAUAACCAGGCAGCAAGAGUACUGUUUCCUUAGCUCCACCCGAGCAGACAAAAGAGAGGGAGAACUAUGAAGUUUUAAAACCCCUUUCACGUAGGUUGACCAGUGGAGAAAGGUAUCCAUGCAUGGCUAUGUAGCCUAGAAUUCCCUCCCUGUUCCAGAGCUGAGAGGAAACAGUAGCUGGGUAAUUCCCUUCGUGCAGAGAGAGGAGCUCCGGUUUCUUUUGCUUGUAUAGAACACAGCAAGUCCUCUGAGACAGUCCGUGGAGAGGCUGCUUGGCAUUGGGUAGAAUCAUGGGAACUGGUUGGAGGUAGAUCAACCUAUUUCUAUCGGCGGCUUGUUGGAUGGCUGGAAAAAGAGAACCGGAUUCUUCUAUCUUUGUUACCUCCUUCAGUAUGUCCCACCCAAGCCACUUUCCUUACUACGUGUCACCUCUAAGAAGUAUCCUACAAGGAUCCCAUCCUUCGUAUGACAUUUAGUCAUGUAUUGGCUUAGGUGAGAAAGAUUUAUACAUUUGCCUUUUAACACAGAUUGUAAACGUUCGAAGGACAAGAACCUGGUUUUAUAGUUUGUGUUCAUUCAUUGACUGAUAAAACAAACCAGUGACGAAGGCACUCAUUAUUCCAGCAUCAACUACGGCUACGGGCACGGAGCAAGGCUUAUUGUGUGCUACUCCAGGGACCCCAGGGAAGUGUGGUGCCUAAUUUCUGCCUUCAAGUAGCUCCCCAUUUUGUCGGACAAGCUCGGUGUGUAUGGGGGAAAAGAUAAUGCAGUAGCACACAAUAAGAUCACAAUGAUUCAAAAACAUCUAAAAAUCACUAGAAAACAAAAUUUUAAUACUGAGUUUCUUGAGGUACUGCCAUUUGGGUUCCUUUGUUAUUUUUCUUCUUUUUGGAUUUUC